UACACCAGCCAUACAACCCCGGGCUGUGCUCUCAUCAGAUUUCCAAGCCAAACAAGGUUGGGCUGGGUCAGUUCUUGGUUGGGAGACCUCCAAGGAGAAGCUGGUGUAU
rnacentral:rRNA from 1 species